AUGCCUCAUCCCCACAUCCAGUGGCUUAGUUCUGGCCUGUCUUGGUUUCCCUUCCCCUGCCAAUCGAAGUCUUUAAUGACCUGUGCUGUUUUGUCAUGGGUCCUUCUGGGAACCUCUGCUGGAUACGUGUCUGCUAAAAUGUAUAAGAGCAAGCAUUACAACUCUUUAUUUUGCUGGUUAGGUAUCCAGUUUGCACAAACCAGAUUCCACGUCAGAUUCCUCAACAGAUUUUCUCUAGAAAAUGACUUUUGGCAUCAUAUCAGUGGCAUUUUCCCUUUUGGCUGUAUUUUUAUUCAACUCUUUUUCCUUCUGAACAGUGUUUGGAACAGUCGGAUUUUUUUCCUGCUUCUGUUUUAUUAUCAAAAUCUACAGUGUGGUGAAAGUGGAUUAAAGAAUGUCCCCAGAGGCUUCCAGGCACAUCACCCUUGCUUUUGAAUAUACAUCUGUAUCUAUA
rnacentral:lncRNA from 1 species